GCCUGAAAGAAUAAUAAAUAAAUUAUUAGUAUGAUCCAAAUAAAAGAAUCAAAUUUUAUUAUAUAAAAAGUAUAAUAAUACCACUAGGACCCACCUCACUGGGACCCAUCUCACUGGGACUCUCUAACAGUGGAGCUAGUGCGGCAAUGGAGAUCGAUGAAGGUGCCUCCACCUCCAAGGUAGAUUGUGAAUGUGAACGUCGUCGUCUGUCUCCUGGUGCCAUAUCUGUAAUAAUUGAGAUAU
rnacentral:lncRNA from 1 species